rnacentral:rRNA from 1 species
UACGAAGGGGGCUAGCGUUGUUCGGAUUUACUGGGCGUAAAGCGCACGUAGGCGGAUCUUUAAGUCAGAGGUGAAAUCCCAAGGCUCAACCUUGGAACUGCCUUUGAUACUGGGGAUCUCGAGUUCGGGAGAGGUGAGUGGAACUGCGAGUGUAGAGGUGAAAUUCGUAGAUAUUCGCAAGAACACCAGUGGCGAAGGCGGCUCACUGGCCCGAUACUGACGCUGAGGUGCGAAAGCGUGGGGGAGCAAACAGG